rnacentral:rRNA from 1 species
AUGAGGCAGAUGAUCAUGAUAAAGAUGGCUCUUCGCAAAAGAAUUGCAGAAACACAAUAUGUUGGUCAUCAGAUGCUCCCAUCACUAAUUAAGGCAUUGCACUUGAAGGCAAGAGGACUGAAGAUGAAAUGUAUUCGAUCUGGUACAUAUGAGGGAGAGGUUACCUAUACUGACACUAAAAAUAGGGUAUGGAGGUUUCCUGUGAACCUAAGUACUAGAGAAUGUACUUGUAGGCAAUGGCAGAUCCGUGGGAAGCCAUGCAUACAUGCCCUACAUCUGAUGACCGUUAUUGGGGGUGCAGAUGGUGAAGUUGAUCAAUAUUGCUCUGAGUAUUUCUCUGUUGCCAAAUUUAUGGCUGCUUAUGCUGACAAUGUGCUUACACUCUUGGGGAAAGAUCAAUGGAACAUAGUAGAUCCAGGGUUCAAACUCCACGCUCCUGUCAUUACUAGACCACCAGGAAGACCAAGGAACCAGAGGAUUAGAGCAGGUGAGGAGGGUCGUCUACCAAAGAAGCGUGCAUGCAAAAAAUGUGGAGUUCUGGGGCAUAUUGCUAGGCUUUGUACCAAUGCAGUGGAUGCAUCAUUUGGAGAGGAGGAAAGAUGGACAACAGCCAAUGCUGAGGAGAAUGCAACAACAAUGGAGACUGAAGAUGCAGAGGAGAAUGCAGCAGCAAUGGAGACUGAAGAUGCAGUGGAGAAUGCAGCAGUAAAUGAAGCAUCUUGGUAUGUGUUUGCAUUUGUAGAAUGCAACUACCCUUUUGUUUGUAUUUGUUCUCUUUUUUGCCUAUGGCUUAUAAUUUUAUUUACCAGCUCUAGGGAGAAAAGGCCAAGAGAUGAAGAAGCAGAAGAUUUUGAAACCAUGGCCUUUGAUGGUUUUGAAGCUAUAAGAGAGGAAGAGGAGGGGGUAAUUUUUCCAAUUGUUCCUUUAAAGAUUACUGAACCCAUAGAUGACCGUCAAAUGGUCGUCAAGUGCUCGGCGAGUGGAACUACUCCAUCAGCACCUCCACGGCGAAAACCCCAAGUAAAGAUUAAAAGGAACAAGAGUCUGAAAGAAAAGAGCAUCUCAACUGGGGAAACCAGGAGCAAGACGGUGAAGCCAGCUGCAAACACAAGGAGCAAGUCAAAAAUUUGA